rnacentral:lncRNA from 1 species
GGGGAGGCCUUCUGAGUCAGUGCAGUUUGGAAAGGUCAGUCUGAGGUGUUGACAUUUGAACAGAGAACUCAAAAAAGAGAACAAACCAGUUCUGUGAAAAACGUUCCAAACUUCAGAAUGAUUUGGAGGCAGAAAAUUGUCCUGUGAUGGUUAAUUCAUGUAUCAACUUGACUAGGUCAUGGUGGACCCAGAUAUUUGGUUAAACAUUAUUCUGGGAGUAUCUUUGAAGUGUUUGUAGAUGAGCUUAAAAUUUGAAUCAGCAGAUGGAGUAGAACAGUUUUCCCUCCCCACGGUGGAUGGGCGUCG